UACGUAGGGGGCGAGCGUUGUCCGGAUUCAUUGGGCGUAAAGAGCUCGUAGGCGGUUUGGCAAGUCGGGUGUGAAAUCUCCGGGCUCAACUCGGAGAGGCCACUCGAUACUGCUAUGACUAGAGUCCGGUAGGGGACUAUGGAAUUCCAGGUGUAGCGGUGAAAUGCGUAGAUAUCUGGAGGAACACCGGUGGCGAAGGCGGCAUCCUGGACCAAUUCUGACGCUGAGGAGUGAAAGCCAGGGGAGCAAACGGG
rnacentral:rRNA from 1 species